GCCACCGUAGCACAAUGGUUAGUGUGUCGCUUUCCUAAGCGAUUCCAUGUAAUCACAAAGGCGGAGGUUGUGGGUUCGAGUCCCAUCGGUGGUU